UGCGUGUGAAUGAGAGUCCGAGAGAGUGAGGGCUCAGGUCAUCAGUGCUCCAUAGCGUGCAGCGUGUGGCAGCAGACAGCGGGAGACUCCGCACACAUGUGGACUUCACAUCAGCGCCAGCGGAAGGAUGAGUCGGGGAGACAGCACAGCGGCCCACUCCGAACUUACUUAAGGGCAGAAACAGGCUACAAUAUGGGACCCUUUUUCAAGGUGAACAGAAAGUAAGGUCGCCAUUUACACCCACGUACGUCUGUUCCUUAAGAGUCUUACUUAAAGAGUACUUCAACAUCUCAGCAGCCAAAAAGGGCAACCUGAAGUGGAGCUCAAUGCAGAUCACACCGUUCAAGAGCCAAGCAUCCUCUCAACUUUCUGAGCACACGAUUGUCUGUUUCAAAUCCUACAUGAAAUGGAAAGAAGCCUGUCAAUGAUCCAAAUCUAUUCAGAAGUGCCUCCUUGAUAGACUUUUCCUGAGGUACAGAGAACAUUAAAGUAUUAACAAAAGCUCAGGCUAAUACAAACACCAAUGCACUUUUUAUAAACAGGCUACAAUCAAAUAUUUCACAGUAGAUCUUUUCGCAAGCGUCUUCUAUCAACGCAUCCAGAUUAAGUGCUCUCGUGGUUCGCUAGGGCCUUCAUCACUUUAAAGCUGCUAAUCUCUGGUUCCCAACUGCAGCAAAUCCUAUUAAAAUCACCUUCAGUUUAACACUCACAUUGUUACAAAAUGCAAAACACGCAGCUUUCGCCUUACUCUGUUAAUUGAGGGUAGUGCAUCCCUGUAAAAGCGUGUCUGCGAGCAUGUUAAAUAAAUCGCGUGAAUUUCUCA
ensembl:lncRNA